rnacentral:rRNA from 1 species
CAGCCGCCACGGGAAUACCGAGGAUGCAAGCGUUAUCCGGAAUGAUUGGGCGUAAAGUGUCUGUAGGUGGCUUUUCAAGUCCGCCGUCAAAUCCCAGGGCUCAACCUUGGACAGGCGGUGGAAACUACCAAGCUGGAGGACGGUAGGGGCAGAGGAAAUUUCCGGUGGAGCGAUGAAAUGCGUUGAGAUCGGAAAGAACACCAACAGCGAAAGCACUCUGUUGGGCCGACACUGACACUGAGAGACGAGAGUUAGGGGAGCAAAUGGGAUUAGAUACCCCUGUAGUCCCUGUCUCUUAUAC